rnacentral:rRNA from 1 species
CCUACGGGGCGCAGCAGUGAGGAAUAUUGGUCAAUGGACGAGAGUCUGAACCAGCCAAGUAGCGUGAAGGAUGACUGCCCUAUGGGUUGUAAACUUCUUUUAUAUGGGAAUAAAAUGUUCCACGUGUGGGAUUUUGUAUGUACCAUAUGAAUAAGGAUCGGCUAACUCCGUGCCAGCAGCCGCGGUAAUACGGAGGAUCCGAGCGUUAUCCGGAUUUAUUGGGUUUAACGGGAGCGUAGGUGGAUUGUUAAGUCAGUUGUGAAAGUUUGCGGCUCAACCGUAAAAUUGCAGUUGAAAAUGGCAGUCUUGAGUACAGUAGAGGUGGGCGGAAGUCGUGGUGUAGCGGUGAAAUGCUUAGAGAUCACGAAGAACUCCGAUUGCGAAGGCAGUUCACUGGACUGCAACUGACACUGAGGCUCGAAAGUGUGGGUAUCAAACAGGAUUAGAUACCCGGGUAGUC